UACGAGUGCCUCAAGCGUUAUCCGGAAUUAUUGGGCGUAAAGGGUGUGUAGGCGGUUUUGUUAGUCUUCUGUCAAAGUCUCCGGCUUAACCGGGGUUCUGCAGAGGAAACGGCAAGACUCGAGGAUGCGAGAGGUGAAUGGAACUCAUAGUGUAGGGGUGAAAUCCGUUGAUAUUAUGGGGAACACCAAAAGCGAAGGCAAUUCACUGGCGCACUCCUGACGCUGAAACACGAAAGCGUGGGUAGCGAAUGGG
rnacentral:rRNA from 1 species